UAUAUGUAUGUUAAUAAAGACUUUUUUUAAAAUAUAAAUACUUAUUAUAACGUCUGGUCGAGCGUUACAAUGACGACGAGGCGUUCGUCUCAGACAGGUCUUUUAUUGAAAAACCUUAACAGUUACUGUCGGCUGUAACUACGCCACAUAACAACAAUGACUUCUCUACAUGCUCUUCUUUCCUUCCACUGGCUCCUCACUCCGUCACAUACACACAGACUCACUCGCACCCAAUCACAGACCUACCUAUAUACGUGCGUCCACUGACAGUCUGGAAUCACAGGAGUUAACAUUACAGAGAACCGGUCUAUUUCACUAUACAUGAGUUACAUUAACAAUUUACCUUUCAAAUGUUUAACCUCAUAUGUUAGAGAGAGUCGGGCGACAGAGCAAGACAUUGGCAGCUUCUUUGUUCAGAGGUUUUCAAAAGCACCAUCUCCAUCGAUAGUGCAUUUGAUGGUAACGCGCCUGAAUUCCAAACAGACCAAUCAGCGCACUCCAUCUGACCACCUCGACCAUUAACGGAUUUCCAAAGAGUUUUCUGCAGUUGCCUCGGUAAGUAUAUUUAUAAAACUCUGACUAAACUGCAAUUAUUCGUUUAAUCGAGAGGGCUACAUUGCAGACAGCUGACGUUAAGUCAACAUCCCGACAGUCUUACGACUAGCUGAACUGUUAUAACAGCAUAGGAAAGGACUGUAUCAUGUAGGCUUAAGGAAAAUGUGGCUCGCGUUUUAUCGCGCUAACGCUGGCAUGUUGAAGCCUCUGACUAGCUAACUAUACUGCUCGACGUGUUGAUUGAUUUGUACAUUGAAAUAUAUUCUUAUAACAUAUAACAUGUGGAGAAAACGUCAAAUCUGUAAAAGCAUAUACUUUGCAUUGCAAACUCCACCGCAAUGAACCCUGACGUUUUUUCAACUGUGUAGCAACAAAUUGUAAGCAAGUGCUUUCGAGUUAUGCAGCUUUAAAAUCGCAUUUCUAUCGCCACCAUAACAGUACAUCGACAAUUGAUCAGGACGUGACUUUAAUGCCAUUAAAAUGCACAGUCUCACUUUGUGAACGCCAGGUCCUCCUGCAUUGGUGCUGAGACAUUUAUAUUGAGCUUUGACUGAGAAGUUGUCAACAACCACAUCACUUUCUUCACAUCUGCCUGAUGUUUGGCAGUUACUACUGCUUCAACAUACACUACCUGGUGUUUCUUUUCAAUAAAUCCUGGAAGAAGAGUAAAAAAGUGUUAUUGGUCAGUCCCAGAGUCUUGACACUGAUCUCAGACCUUGCCAACAAUGAGUGGACCUACCAGUGAUGUUGAGGGAUGAUGUGAUAAAAGGUACAUUUGAUAUGAUAUACACUGCAGAUAUUUUGUUAUUAAAGGUGUGUACCUAUUAAAUCUGUCCACUCAUUUUGCUCACUGCAAUCAUUUUAAAACUAAUUUUGUUCUAACUCUUUCUCUCUCUCUCAUGGAGUUUGUUCUCAUCUACAGAGGCACCAAAGUUGAGUGUAAAAAGAAGAAAAUAAUCGCUG